rnacentral:rRNA from 1 species
AUUGAACGCUGGCGGCAUGCUUUACACAUGCAAGUCGAACGGUAACAGGGAGCUUGCUCCGCUGACGAGUGGCGAACGGGUGAGUAAUGCGUCGGAACGUGCCGAGUAGUGGGGGAUAACGCAUCGAAAGGUGUGCUAAUACCGCAUACGUACUGAGGUAGAAAGUGGGGGACCUUCGGGCCUCACGCUAUUCGAGCGGCCGACGUCUGAUUAGCUAGUUGGUGAGGUAAAGGCUCACCAAGGCGACGAUCAGUAGCGGGUCUGAGAGGAUGAUCCGCCACACUGGGACGGAGACACGGCCCAGACUCCUACGGGAGGCAGCAGUGGGGAAUUUUGUACAAUGGGCGCAAGCCUGAUCCAGCCAUGCCGCGUGUCUGAAGAAGGCCUUCGGGUUGUAAAGGACUUUUGUCCGGGAGCAAAUGCUGGUGGCUAACAUCCACCGGAGCUGAGAGUACCGGAAGAAUAAGCACCGGCUAACUACGUGCCAGCCGCCGCCGUAAAAC